UGGGGAAUAUUGCACAAUGGGGGAAACUCUGAUGCAGCGACGCCGCGUGAACGAAGAAGGUAUUCGUAUCGUAAAGUUCUGUCCUAUGGGAAGAUAAUGACAGUACCAUAGAAGAAAGCUCCGGCUAAAUACGUGCCAGCAGCCGCGGUAAUACGUAUGGAGCGAGCGUUGUCCGGAAUUAUUGGGCGUAAAGGGUACGCAGGCGGUUUAAUAAGUCGAAUGUUAAAGAUCGGGGCUCAACCCCGUAAAGCAUUGGAAACUGAUAAACUUGAGUAGUGGAGAGGAAAGUGGAAUUCCUAGUGUAAUGGUGAAAUACGUAGAUAUUAGGAGGAAUACCAGUAGCGAAGGCGACUUUCUGGACACAAACUGACGCUGAGGUACGAAAGCGUGGGGAGCAAACAGG
rnacentral:rRNA from 1 species